UCUUUACUCGUCCUCUUGUGA
rnacentral:sRNA from 1 species